rnacentral:rRNA from 1 species
GUAGGUGGCAAGCGUUGUCCGGGAAUUAUUGGGGCGUAAAGCGCGCGCAGGCGGUUCUUUAAGCUGAUGUGAAAGCCCACGGGCUCAACCGUGAGGGUCAUUGGAAACUGGAGAACUUGAGUACAGAAGAGGAAAGCGGAAUUCCACGUGUAGCGGUGAAAUGCGUAGAGAUGUGGAGGAACACCAGUGGCGAAGGCGGCGUUUCUGGUCUGUAACUGACGCUGAGGCGCGAAAGACGUGGGGAGCAAACAGGAUUAGAUACCCUCGGUAGUCCACGCCGUAAACGAUGAGUGCUAAGUGUUAGGGGGUUUCCGGCCCCUUACGUGCUGCAGCUAAUGCAUUAAGCACUCCGCCUGGGGAGUACGGCCGCAAAGGCUG